UGCACUGCUGAUGGCCGGCAUCACCCAUUCAACCCAGGAAUCCCCAGGGGAUACAUGGUAAAGACACCCACGGAUACAUCACCCACGGUAUCUACUUAGAGUGUGGUAUUCUGGACACGCUACAGAGAUGCUCAGACUGCAUAACAUCUGCCCCCACACAGCACAAUACGUGUGCAGGAAGGGCUUCCAGAAAAGUGAGUCGUCUAUUGCGGGGCAACCAGGUGCCCUUCAUGCUGUGGUUUGGCACCCCAGCGAUGUUAACUCAAGGGCAAAAGUAACGGCGUAUCUCCAAGCCCAGGAGCCUCUGCCACUCAGGAACCACAUCAUCUUCCCUCGGAGAGAACGUUCCUGGCGGACUGAGGCCUGUCAUCCGUCUCGUUGAUUUAAUGAGCAAUAGAGAUGGAGGAGACAACAGGAAAUCAAUUCGCCACUCUGGAAGAAACAACAUCUUUGUCACUGUCCCCUUUCCUAACAGUGUUAAUUUGACUGUGGGGUUUGACUGUGGAUAUUUCAAUCACUAAUGACGUCAUAGAAAGUGGGACGUGCUCACAGUAUGUUACAAACAUUCACUUCACCCAUUACAUGCCCUAGCAUGAAGUAUGUAAAAGUGUCUACCUUGGUUUGGGUGGAUCGUGUUUGUGAGUCAGCUGCAGAAUUACAGAAACUUUACAGAGCAGACCAAACAUAUUGUAUAUUUAAUAUGCAUUAUUCUAUGUCUAAAUGGUGUAGCGUUACCUGUAACUUCCAUUCGUGUUCUAUUUGCAUUAGCCAUUGUAUUAUGAACAAUAGGCAUUGUCAGCAGGCAGUCAUCACCUUACAUGACCUGAAUUUGGAGAAUGUUUUGGUGUAUUGUUGUACUUUAUGAUAUUGGUCUACAUGUAUAUUAAAAAAUCAGUAGUGUUAGUAUUGUCAUCUGGAUAUGUGACACAUUAUAAACAAAAAGAUAUAUAUGCUUCUCAUAUGGC